AGUUUGACUGGGGCGGUCUCCUCCCAAAGCGUAACGGAGGAGCACGAAGGUUAGCUAAUCCUGGUCGGACAUCAGGAGGUUAGUGCAAUGGCAUAAGCUAGCUUGACUGCGAGCGUGACGGCGCGAGCAGGUGCGAAAGCAGGUCAUAGUGAUCCGGUGGUUCUGAAUGGAAGGGCCAUCGCUCAACGGAUAAAAGGUACUCCGGGGAUAACAGGCUGAUACCGCCCAAGAGUUCAUAUCGACGGCGGUGUUUGGCACCUCGAUGUCGGCUCAUCACAUCCUGGGGCUGAAGUAGGUCCCAAGGGUAUGGCUGUUCGCCAUUUAAAGUGGUACGCGAGCUGGGUUUAGAACGUCGUGAGACAGUUCGGUCCCUAUCUGCCGUGGGCGCUGGAGAAUUGAGGGGGGCUGCUCCUAGUACGAGAGGACCGGAGUGGACGCAUCACUGGUGUU
rnacentral:rRNA from 1 species